AGCGAACGCUGGCGGCAGGCCUAACACAUGCACGUCGCACGGAGUGGCGGACGGGUGAGUAACACGUGGGAACGUGCCCUUUGGUUCGGAACACCUCGGGGAAACUUGAGCUAAUACCGGAUGCCAUUGGAGCGGCCCGCUUCUAAUUAGCUAGUUGGUGAGGUAAAGUCUCACCAAGGCGACGAUCAGUAGCUGGGCUGCGAGGAUGAUCAGCCACAUUGGGACUGAGACACGGCCCAAAGUGCUACGGGAGGCAGCAGGGGGAAAUCUUGCGCAAUGGGCGAAAGCCUGACGCAGCCAUGCCGGGUGAAUAAUGAAGGUCUUAGGAUUGUAAACUCCUUUCACCAUCGACGCGGUAGAUGGAGAAGAAGCACCGGCUAACUACGUGCCAGCAGCCGCGGUAAUUC
rnacentral:rRNA from 1 species